rnacentral:rRNA from 1 species
GAUGAACGCUGGCGGCGUGCCUAAUACAUGCAAGUCGAGCGAACGGACGAGAAGCUUGCUUCUCUGAUGUUAGCGGCGGACGGGUGAGUAACACGUGGAUAGCCUACCUAUAAGACUGGGAUAACUUCGGGAAACCGGAGCUAAUACCGGAUGAUAUUUUGAACCGCAUGGUUCAAAAGUGAAAGACGGUCUUGCUGUCACUUAUAGAUGGAUCCGCGCUGCAUUAGCUAGUUGGUAAGGUAACGGCUUACCAAGGCAACGAUGCAUAGCCGACCUGAGAGGGUGAUCGGCCACACUGGAACUGAGACACGGUCCAGACUCCUGCGGGAGGCAGCAGUAGGGAAUCUUCCGCAAUGGGCGAAAGCCUGACGGAGCAACGCCGCGUGAGUGAUGAAGGUCUUCGGAUCGUAAAACUCUGUUAUUAGGGAAGAACAUAUGUGUAAGUAACUGUGCACAUCUUGACGGUACCUAAUCAGAAAGCCACGGCUAACUACGUG